rnacentral:lncRNA from 1 species
AUGGAUACAACAAGAGGAAGGUGCUGUACUGGAGCAUCAAUCCAAUGGUCAAACUCUCACGAUACUGAUGUUCCACUUUUUCCUCACUGCAGAUCAUAUGGGCUCAGACAACUUUGUAUUUCAAGAGAGUUUUUACUAAAGAAAGGUGGAAGGAUGUAUGGAAAGUGCUCGUGCAAAUACAUGGUGGAGGCCAUUAAUACAGUAACAAUUUGGAUGCAUCUUCUGCAUCAAGAACCCUUGGACCCGCAGCUGUUGCAGCACUCUUUCUUGGGAGACCCAGUGAAGGGGUGGCCUUAAUCUGAUAUACAGACGUUAUUGCGGGGCAGAUUCUGGACCUGAAGCUGAUAGGCUCUGCCACAAGUAAUCACACAGAUACAAGUUUUUCUUCUGCACUGAUGAUGCUGGGUUUGUGCUGAUGCCUGCCUGCCUGCCAUUUUGGUGUUAUUUCUUCCGGCCUUACAGCAAUGCUUUGGGUAUGACUGGCUCUCUUCAUAUCUGGGAAGGAACAAAACCACAUAUUCCCUAGGCUCUGUUAAAAUUCAGAGACCAGCCUGUCAACGGGUUAGUGACGAAGGAGCCAAAAGUCCUUUCAUCUACCCUUGCACACUCCCUGAUGAGCUGAAACAUGCAGUUUCCUAUGCACCUGGAUGUUUGUUUUCAAGGAUUAAAACAAACUAAUACAUAUUUAUUUUUGUUCCCAUGAUAUUAUUUUUACUUCCACGCUAUAUUUGCUGAACAAAAUAGUUGCAGGUUUCCUUUCAACCUAAUAAACUUCUGUACUGUUACA